rnacentral:rRNA from 1 species
UACGAAGGGGGCAAGCGUUGUUCGGAAUUACUGGGCGUAAAGGGCGCGUAGGCGGUGCACUAAGUCAGGCGUGAAAGCCCUGGGCUCAACCCGGGAAUUGCGCUUGAUACUGGUGCGCUCGAAUCCAGGAGAGGUUGGUGGAACUCCCAGUGUAGAGGUGAAAUUCGUAGAGAUUGGGAAGAACACCGGUGGCGAAGGCGGCCAACUGGACUGGUAUUGACGCUGAGGCGCGAAAGCGUGGGGAGCAAACAGG